CUUUUCUCUUUCUCAGCACGAUGUUCGUAGCAAGACAGGGUUCUCCAACUUUUCCACUCCAUCAUCACCGUUUUCAAUUUCUAAACUCCGUUACUGUGAAGUCAUCAAGCUCCAAUCUUAAUCAUUCAAUUAAUUAUGUUCUUUACUUCUCUCUUCAUGAGAGCUGGGAUAUGCAGUGAUUAGUUCAGUAGUCGUACCGGGUCAAAACUCUCCAAAUUCCCCUUUCUCACACUAUAAGUAACCGUUGAUGUUAUUCACCUGCUCCUCCGCACACUGAUUGAUGGAACCUACCACCUCUGUGUCUCCCAAUCCGAGUAGAACCUCACAGAUAAUAGUUCUGAUGGGCUUUGACUUGGUCUUGCGAUGUUGUUGAUACAUGAGCAGUUACUGUUACCAUUUCAGAAGGUUUAGAGCAGCUUCAACUUCCCCGUGAGCACCGCUGAUUCUCCACACGUAGGAGGUGAACAAUUCCCACUCAAGCAUGUGAUAUAGGCAUAUAGCAGCAGCUGCAAAUGUAGCUCUUAAAAGAAUCAGAGACGGAACGCCUGGCAACCGUUGCAUCUUAUUUUAAUCUUUAUUUGCGGUAGGUUUUCAAUAAUUAUCUGCUGAUAUUCGUGAUUGUUAAGCUUUUAGUUCUCUCUCCCUCUUGGUUUAUUGCUAAUGUCUGGAAGAAUCUCAUGAGAUGAAGAAGAUAACGUUUGGGGAUCAGAAAGUGAUCUUUACACAGGAAGAAAGAAAGAGUAAAUGUUUCUGGAAAUUUUCAAUACCAUAUAUACACAUAAAGAUGUAUAUUCAAAUAUCCAAGUUAGGAACCUUUUAAAAAUUAUUUGAUUAACAAAUUAGCUAAGAUACAUACAGAACUUAGGAAGACAAUGUGUGAGACC